GUCCUGUUCCAAAGCAUUAUGUGAGUAUUCAAUCAAAGAAGUGAGGCUGUUCUCCAGAAUUGGUUCUCUGCUACAGGUCAAAAC
ensembl:misc_RNA